GUCCCGUCAGCUGUUUCAUUUUGCGUGGCUUCGGACUGAUGGUGGAUGAUUAAACGAACGUCUCUGUUCUUGAAAUUUCACCACUGAUUCCGUGUGUUUUGAGCUGCAUCUUGUGAAUUCAAUCAAUGCAGAGUUAUUCAAGGAGGACCAUGGUUUGGCGUUACUAGCACGUUUUUCAUCUCCGUUGGUCUUAUACGCCCAUCUUGUACCAAAGUUGAUGCGUAAAAAAAAGGUCUUCGGAAUGUAUUGAUGUACUGUAGUGGCCACAAAAUCCUUCUGUGACUUGGUUCAAUCCAGGAUUUGGUUUUUUCGAAAGUGGUAUACAGUUUUAAUUUGCAGAGAUCCUGGAGGUAUCUGAUGUGUUGCAUUAGCGUUGGAGUAACUCGUCGAUAGAAUGGAAUGCAACCAAUAUUAUGUUGUCAGUGUAAAUAAAACAUAUCCAGUAUCA